rnacentral:rRNA from 1 species
AGCAGCCGCGGUAAUUCCAGCUCCAAUAGCGUAUAUUAAAGUUGUUGCAGUUAAAAAGCUCGUAGUUGAAUUUUGGAUUCUGCCAGUUGGUCCAUCUUUUGAUGAGUACUGAUUGUGUGGGGUCUAUCCGCCUGGGGAAACGUAAUGUACUUUAUUGUAUGUUGCGGAUAGCCAGGACCUUUACCUUGAAAAAAUUAGAGUGUUUAAAGCAGGCUUAUGCCGGAAUACAUUAGCAUGGAAUAAUAGAAUAGGACGAUGUUGUUUAUUUUGUUGGUUUCUAGGACAACCGUAAUGAUUAAUAGGGAUAGUUGGGGGCAUUAGUAUUCAAUUGUCAGAGGUGAAAUUCUUGGAUUUAUUGAAGACUAACUACUGCGAAAGCAUUUGCCAAGGAUGUUUUCAUUAAUCAAGAACGAAAGUUAGGGGAUCGAAGACGAUCAGAUACCGUCGUAGUCUUAACCAUAAACUAUGCCGACUAGGGUUCGGGCGAUGUUGUUUCCAUGACUCGCUCGGCACCUUAUGG